ensembl:lncRNA
AUUACAGUUAUGAAGAAGCAACGGAAGUAACAUUAUGGUAUGGUGGUGACCACCACCUCAUGAGGAACUGUAUUCAAGAGCUGCAGCAUUUGGAAGGUCGAGAACCACUGAUCUAGAGCAUUAUCAGCAAUUUGGACUCAUUUGGGCCAUUAGCUCUUCUUCCUGCCCACCACAGACUCUGAAACCAGCCAGGCUGAAGGAGUGGCAUGCUCCUGGCAGUGGAAGCAGGCCUGUAAUUGGCUCACUAUUGGAUUGGAUUUGGCACAAAAUGACUUCCAGGCUUUCUGCUUCCUGACAGGCCUAUCCAAAAAUGCACAGCAAGGGGUAAAUGAAACCCAUCAACUUUUCUUUGACAUGGGAGAAACAGCAGCUCAAUCUCCAAAUGUUCCUCACACCAAUUCUCUUUGAAGGAAAAUCCAGAAAUUACAAACCAUUUACGAGUUGAAAACUGGAAGAAGAGGAGAAAAAUCCCUUGAAGUCUCCAAUAUAAAAUGAAAGUGCUCUAGUGAAAUGUUGCCAAUGCCGUCUGGAGAAAAGGGGUUUGGAAAACUGCCACAGAGCAGGUUUUGAAAACUGGAGCUGCAAUGCCUCCUCCAGGAGAAAGAGGACACUUGCAGGCUGAAAAUCCACUCCCUGACAAAAGAAGCUCUGGAAGAACAAAGUAGGUGGUGCCUGAGCCGAAGGUCCUCUGGGAUGCUUAGGAGCCUCUGGAUUCAGCUCAGAGUGGUCAUGGAGUCACAAUACAGCGCCAGUGGAAAUGGAGUGCAAGUAUGUCCCAUGCGUUCCAGAACAUGAAGCAUCCUAGUGGCUUCUUUCAGGUUUUGCCUGUAUUAAUAUAUGUGAACCAUAUUCAUGCCUGAAGAAGAGGGCAGAAGAGGAUUGAUUAUCUGUGAACCUGGACUUACAGAACAUUGAAAGCUGUCAUGUGGGUACUAGUUACUGAACCAAGGUCCUAGGCAAGAGGAGCAAGUGCUCUUAACCACUGAGCCAGCUCCCCAACCCCUAGUUUGCAUGUUUAAAAUGAAAUGAUAUGUGUAGUGAAGGAUGGAUAUAUAAAGAAAAGAUAACAUAUAUACACAGUGGAAUAGUAUUUGGCCAUAAAAAUUGAAAAUCUGUGUGAUUUGAAGCAACAUGGAUGGAGCUGGAGGACUUUGUGUUAAGUGUUAUAAACACAAGGACACGCUGGACAGUGGUGGCUCACACCUUUAGUCACAGCACUCAGGAGGCAGAGGCAGGAGGAUCUCUAUGAGUUCAAGGCCAGCCUGAUCUACAGAGUGAGUUCCAGGACAGCCAUCGCUACACAGAAAAGCCUUGUCUUAAAACAAAAAACGACAACCCACAAAAAUGUUUUGCAGUUCUCAGAGUCCCUAGUUUAGUAUGUAUAGUUAUGUAUGAAGUCUGCCUGCCACAAAGCCUUUGAUCUGCCUGCCAUGUUCACCACUGAGUAUGCCUAUGACUUCAGAAUAGUGGUUUCUCUCUAGAGCUUCAUCAGUCCCAGGGUUUUCAAUUGCUGCUAUCUUGCUGUUCGUUUACAUAAUUGUAGAAUUCUUAGGUUUUACCCCUGUUAAUCAUUUCUUUUCUUGUAAUUGCUGCAGUGUUGCCACCUUAAUACUUCCAUUGUUCCUCUCUAAUGUUUUGUUAGCAAUGAGUUCUUUUACCAUGGGGAAAUAGAUAUUACAAACAAGUAGAGUCUUAUUUUGCUCUGCCCUAAAAGUUUUUGCAGUACUGCCUUAAAGGAACUGUUUGUCCUAACAAGCUAGCUUAUUAACAAGGUCCUGCAGAUCCCAUAUGUCUAGAGGCUAUCCCUUCUCACUCUCCUAAAAUUGUCCCUAUCACUGAUUGUCUCCUGUUCCAAAGUAAUACUACUGUGCCUGUCUUUUGUCUACAUAGUGGGUCACAGCAGCCAUCAGGUAUCUUCAAAAUGUACCCACUGACUCAUAACUUAUCUAGCCUCUGAUAUUCUCUAUCUUUCUACCAAGACUCAGGUAUCCUGACAGCAAGGGCCAAAGUUUCUAUCUGUACAUCUUAGUACAGAGAGGAGAAAGUGUACAAGUUCACAAGCUAGUUAUGAGUUCUUUACUACAACCUGUAGUAUGACAGGAGGGUUAAGAAGGAGAGAAAUGGACAGAAUCUAUUUGGACUCCAAACCCAAGUAAUUCUUCAGGUUCUGUGGGAUUCCCACUAAUGCAGCAACAAAUAGUCAUGAGAAGGUCAGAAAACACAUGAUUUUCACACUUUUCUGCUAGUCCUGUCUCUUUAUCUGGCUCUUGGAAUUUCUUAAAUUAACAACUGCUAGGUGGUGGUGGUGCACUCCUUUAAUCCCAGCACUUGGGAGGCAGAGGCAGGCAGAUCCCUGUCAGCCCGGUCUACAGAACGAGUUCUGAGACAGCCAAGGCAACACCAAGAAACCCUGUCUUGAAAAAAAGGGGGGGAUUUAAGUUAACAACUGGCUACCUUCGGUCUCAUCCAAAAGAAUCCUCAGAGUAAGAUGGUUGAAGACCCUACUUUGCCUGUCCCAUCCUAUGCCCCACAUUAGCUUGGGAACCCUUGAAGAGAUGCUCCCAUGUCUCUUGGUUUAGAGAAGAUAUGUGUUAUGUCUGUGUUUCUAUUGCCUGGUCUGAUUCCCAACCUGAGUACAGGUUUAUCCAUGGAAAAUUCAGACAUGGAGGCAUGUGCCUAUAACCCCAGUACUGGGUUUGGUGGAGACAAGUGGAUCCCAUGAACUCACUGGCUGGCCAAUCUAUCAAAAUGAUGAGUUUCAGAUUCAGUGAGGAGAUCUUGCCUCAAAAAUCAAGGUGAAUCUUGUUUAUUUAAUUUUUAUGACAGGUAGAUACUACCCAAGAUUUAGCUAUUAAGCAAAACAUGCCUACCUACCAGCCACCCUUCUUUAACACACUUGGUAAAUGUUCUUUAAUGUUCUUGGUAAAAGUCUACAAUAAGUAGAUACUAUGUUAAUUGCAACUUUAAAAAAGGUGAGGUGCAACACAAAGAAAUCAAGCAUGAGCUAGUUUCCUCCCUGAUGGGUCUGUUCUUAUGUUACCAGAUGGCACCAUGCAGGAUAUUAUAAAAUAAAAACAUAAGAGAUCUAACCCAUUUGUGAACUUUACAAAUUAUAAUACCAGGCAAAAAUAUGCUCAUUUAUGUAAUGAUGACACAAUUGUUCUGGGGGUAACCAACCACUUCCUAUUUGAGGCUUUUUCUAUGAAGAAAUCCAUGCUUAAUAAUGCAAACCUGGUCCAAAAUACAUGACAGAAGAGGUCUUAAUAUCUUUCAGCGGCAGUGGUGGCAGCUAAGGUGGCUGCUUAGCUGAAUCGACAUAGCAACAAACCACCUCCUAAAUAUCUAUGCUUACACUCACC